GCCCCGGUAGCUCAAAUGGAUAGAGCAGAGCACUCCUAAGGCUAAGGCUGUGGGUUCGAGUCCCACCUGGGGCA
rnacentral:tRNA from 1 species